GACUCAGUUUGCCCCACAGUCAGUAACUUCCUAUCUAGAAAAGCACUAAAUCCCGUCAUGAUGAUAUCAGCUCCCGGUGACUAGCAGAAAACCUCUUGUAAAUUUAGACAGUUAUGGCGAUUGACGAAGUGACCCAGUGGACUUCCCUCCUUCGCCUGAACUCCGUGAGGAACCAGAGCUUUGAUACCAGCAGUGGUGUGCCCAUCCGCCCUCUUGGGGCGUGCAGAUGAAUUUGGGAAAAACAAGUUGCUCAGAGCUUCUGCAGAAAAGUCUCACUUUCUGUUUCAGACGGGAAGAGCUGCCUUGCUCACAGUUUGGUGUAGACAGUCAGAGGAUUUGAGGGCUUCCCUGGUGGCUCAGUGGUAAAGAAGCUGCCU